AGAACAUCCAACAAUCUAUUUGUCCCUUGUCUUCACAUAACAUUCUUUGCCUUGGCUGGAGCUCUCUUGAUAUAUCUUUGCCUUGACUGGAGCUCCCUUAAUAUAUUUAAGGAUGCAAAUUACUACAUUCCAAUGACUGUCACAAGGAGCUUAGAGGAACUGGCUAACCAACACUAAUAGCAAAGGAGAUGAUGAGUCCUGUGAUUGUGAGAUAAUUGAACUUGCCACCUCUGGAUUAGUGUUGAUUGUGCCAAUCCCUUUAUGGUCUUAAGCAAUCUCUUAGGGUAUAGUUUGAGAAAGAGGAUACUAUUCAAGUAUUUUUCUUUUCGAUACAGAGAAGGGAAAAAAUAGAAAUUAGGGCAGAAAAUUUUCAAUUUUCAAUUUUCGAAGGAGGGACUUAAUACCCAGGUUCUAAUACCAUGAAGAAAAAGAAGAAAAGAAGAAGUUUUAGAGAAUAUUUUUGCUUGAUUGUUCCCUUGAGCUUUGGGGAUUAAAUAGAGUUUAAAUACCCUAAAUUGGAAAACAUACAUAAUUACAGGUAUAAAAUCUUCGUAAUUAGUGUGAAUAAUGUCUUCCUAAUCUAUGGCAUAAUUACAGGUAUUCCAAAAAUAUUUAUGGAUUCUUAACAAAGGUGAUUAUAACUUGUGUUCUUUGCUUUAAGAGGCUUUGGGAAAGGGAUUUUGAUGAACUGUAAUUUUCAAGAUAGAGGGAGUCUAGUUGUGAUUAAGCCUCUGUUAUGGAUGCAUUUGCAGGCAAGACUUAUUCAAGAUGUCAUUUACAAGAGAUUCUAAUCAAUGGUGAUAAGAAUGACAACAAA
rnacentral:misc_RNA from 1 species